GGCUCGGUAGCUUAGUUGGUAAAGCGCUCGUCUAGCAUACAAGAGUCGUGGAUUCAAAUCCCAGCCGAGCAC
rfam:Aedes aegypti strain Liverpool supercont1.68 genomic scaffold, whole genome shotgun sequence.